rnacentral:rRNA from 1 species
AACGAACGCUGGCGGCAGGCCUAACACAUGCAAGUCGAACGCUCGUAGCAAUACGGGAGUGGCAGACGGGUGCGUAACACGUGGGAACAUACCCUUUGGUUCGGAAUAACUCAGGGAAACUUGAGCUAAUACCGGAUACGCCCGAGAGGGGAAAGAUUUAUUGCCGAAGGAUUGGCCCGCGUCUGAUUAGCUAGUUGGUGAGGUAACGGCUCACCAAGGCGACGAUCAGUAGCUGGUCUGAGAGGAUGAUCAGCCACACUGGGACUGAGACACGGCCCAGACUCCUACGGGAGGCAGCAGUGGGGAAUAUUGGACAAUGGGCGCAAGCCUGAUCCAGCCAUGCCGCGUGAGUGAUGACGGCCUUAGGGUUGUAAAGCUCUUUUACCUGGGAAGAUAAUGACGGUACCAGGAGAAUAAGCCCCGGUAACUUCGUGCCAGCAGCCGCGGUAAAAAGUACUCUAU